GACGAACGCUGGCGGCGUGCUUAACACAUGCAAGUCGAACGAAGUGGCGAACGGGUGAGUAACGCGUAAUCAACCUGCCCUUCAGAGGGGGACAACAGUUGGAAACGACUGCUAAUACCGCAUACUGAAGGAGGGGAUUGCGUCUGAUUAGCUAGUUGGAGGGGUAACGGCCCACCACGGCGAGGAUCAGUAGCCGGUCUGAGAGGAUGACCGGCAACAUGGGGACUGAGACACGGCCCAGAUUCAUACGGGAGGCAGCAGUAGGGAAUCUUCGGCAAUGGACGAAAGUCGGACCGAGCAACGCCGCGUGAGUGAAGAAGGUUUUCGGAUCGUAAAACUCUGUUGUUAGAGAAGCGGUAUCUAACCAGAAAGCCACGGCUAACUACGUGCCAGCAGCCGCGGUAAUUC
rnacentral:rRNA from 1 species